CAACCAACGCUCGACGGCGUUCUUAAUUGAAUUGCGCAGUCGGCCUGAGUGAGUUUCGCAAUUGCAAGAUUGCGUAACUUUAAGCUCGGACAGAAGUUCCCGAUGUCUAACACAUAGCUCGAAUCUGUCGACUAAGGGCAAUGCGGUUAAUUUGCCUUCGGGUAAAUAUCAGCAUUUGUUCGAAGUAGACAUUCAAGGUUUGUUCGAAGUCUAGAUCAACGAGUGAACUAUUCCAGAGCCAAUCUGGAAACUUAACUUUUGAUUAAGAUAUCAAAUGAAUCGAGAAAACACGCCGAACUUAAGCAUAUCAAUAAGCGGAGGA
rnacentral:misc_RNA from 1 species